UACGAAGGGGACUAGCGUUGUUCGGAAUCACUGGGCGUAAAGCGCACGUAGGCGGAUGUGUCAGUCAGGGGUGAAAUCCCGGGGCUCAACCUCGGAACUGCCUUUGAUACAGCACGUCUCGAGUCCGGAAGAGGUGGGUGGAAUUCCUAGUGUAGAGGUGAAAUGCGUAGAUAUCUGGAGGAACACCGGUGGCGAAGGCGGCAUCCUGGACCGGCAUUGACGCUGAGGCGCGAAAGCUAGGGGAGCAAACGGG
rnacentral:rRNA from 1 species